rnacentral:piRNA from 1 species
UAGAUUGUAAGGCAAGCCAGUGCACU